UAUGAUUAUCAUAUAUUUGCAUUGUAAAUAUGUCCAAUAUCGUGUCCUCGCAAUUUGGUACGGUACAAUUAAGUUCGACGUCUAAAUCAGCUUCCGAUAUUUUGCCGUAUCUACGACAAUUAGAUUCGGCGCAUGAAAACAUCCAUUGAAUCUCAAUGUACCUUAUCAUCCAUUGAUACCUUAUCAUCCCGGCCGGAGUCCCGCAAAGCUCUGUAAUAUCUCCCAUUCUUUUUAAUUCAUACAUUGAUGAUUUGGAGGACACCUUACCAGAACAAUUAAAAGUCAGUACGGAUAAGUAUACAGCAGGGCCUCUUUUAAGGAUGUGUAACUGGAGGGGACAUAUUUAGCGGGGGACCUGGAGAAGUUUCAGUGUUAAAAGAGGCGUAGAUUCUGGUGAGCGUAGAUUCUGGUAGUAAUUUACAAUAAUCUAUCAAUGAAGCAGGGGCGUAGGAAGCAUAAAAAAGUUGGGCAUCAUCGUUUUUGGCAGGGCAACUCUGGCAGGGGCACCGGUUUCGAGGGACACUUUUGGAAUGAAAAGGGCACCUAAAAAAUUUUCCCCGGAAAUGUUGGCGAC